rnacentral:lncRNA from 1 species
CGCUGGCAAACCUACACCAUGUACAUUUUCUUGGUGGAUAUCUUGGGCAAAUGUGCAAUAUGACGAGGGAUAUCUUGGGCAAAUAUCUAAUAUAAAUUGGCACGAUUGCUUACCUUAAAUUACUAAAGAAGGAUGAUGUUGUAAGGUUAGUGGAUAUUUAUAAUAGUGAUAAAAUGGGGGUUCCCUGUGAAUAGGAAUGAAGUGAGGCUGCCUAAUUAAGUGGAAACAAUAUUGUGGAGUGUAACAAUCUAAAAAUAUGGCAGACUGAAAUCUGUAAAAAUGAUGCAUGUUUAAUUUAAAACAUGCAAAAAUUGCGGCAUAAAUAUAUCACGAAACAUGCUUCUUGCAACUACAUGCUAUGUUUAUAGGAAUUUGAAUAAGUUUUUAGUAGGCAUGAUUUAGGAUUUUUGUUUUAUUUUCAUUUAUGAUUUUCUAUAAAUGGCCCAACUAGUUUAUAUCUAAUAUGUAAUGUAUAAUAUAUAGAUUGUAAAUUUUUUGAUCUAGAAAAUAAUAGAGUUCUUAUACAACUACAUGCUGUGUUGGGUUGUUAGGGUUGAAUAAGUUUUUAGUAGGCAUGAUGCACAGUGACGUAGUCGUAUAAAUAGAUAUUUAACAGUCUGUGGCCAUUUGUCACUAAUGCUGCACAGUGAUGUAGUCGUAUAAAUAGAUAUAAUAUUGUGCACUUCAGUGGCUUUCUAAUUUUAUUAUCCAAUCGGGAGUAUGGAUCUAUUCUGGAACGACCCAUUCAAGGCAAAGAAAAUAUGCAAGCAUUAAAUAUUUCCUGCAUUAUUUCUCAAUCCUUGCUCAAUGACAAAAACAUACUUAAAUUAAAUUUGUAAUAUAGGAAAAAUAGAUUUUCUGUAAUAUAUAAGUUUUUAGUAGGCAUGAUUUAGGAUUUUUGUUUCUAUUCAUGAUUUUCUAUAAAUGGGUGCUCACCUAAUUUUUGAGAUAUGAUAUGAAUUUAUGAUAUCUUUAUCACAUAAGAGUGGCAGUGUCAUCACGACAGUGUAAAAAACAAUUACUGUGGGCUCUAUUUUACAAAUACUAUAUAAAUAUACAAUAACACAACUUAAUUUAUGAGGAUAAAUACAACUAUCAGGAACAACAAGAGAGUGGAGUAGCAAGACUACAAGCAGUGUUACAUUUCAAACAGAUUCUUAGUUUAUAUUGAUAGCAGUAAUGUACCAUCUGUAUAACAUACAGUUGUAAAAUUUGUAACGUCUCUCUGGAGCAGGGGGUGAGCGGAGGUGAGACACUGGGAACGACGAUGGGCUCAUAUUCGUUCUUAAGAGUUUUUUGUAGGGCAUAUAGACGGGGGGACUCAUAUAUUGGGGGGGGGGGGUAUUCAAAUGUUACAUAUCAAAAUGUAAGUUAGUCCUUUAUGAAUGCAAUAAAACAUUCAAGUAUAGUAGCUUUUGUAGUUUUUAUUACAUUUAAUCAAACAGCACAAGUUGUUUUUUUUUUUGGGGGGGGGGACACCCGGGGUACAUUUCUAACAGUCUUCCUUUGUAAAGCAAUGAUUGGGCUAAGAAAAUUUCAAUACGUCAUUGCUGUUGAAAUGACUUAAUUCAUCACUAAUAAUACUAAAGCUUAUGUUGCUGAUAAUAUACCAUUCAGCAUCUAUUUUUGAGAAAAUUGUUGCACAAACCAUAUUCCAAUGUUUGCGAUGUGACCAUUGCAUGUGGCUGUCAAAAACGUCCAGAUUAGUUAGAUUGUUGUUUUCUAAAACAUUCCGCGGCUCGUGAUUUUAGAACUCUUUUUAUGCUUUAACCCAUUGAGUAGCAGCACUCCCCACUUGACAAGUAAAAUCCUGUGGUGUUAGACAGUAAAAUACUAAAGUAGGGCGCAUCUGGGCGCAAUGCAACUUAAAGGGUUAAAUUAAUUAACCAAAAUAAGUUCAUACAUUUGUUUGAAAAAAGAUUUUCACACAGUAGUUUGUAUUUUGAAGUUCCUUGAAUUACACAUGAUACUGCAUGUACAUAUAUAUACUGCAUAUAUAUAUGAAGAACAUAACCCCGGGGGGGGGGGGAUAAAACCCUAGUAGGGAACCACCUCCAGACCAAUUUACACUCACCUGCGACAAAAUAGGGAGGUUGUGUGCUUGAUUUGCACAGUGCAACUCAAGUUGUAAGCAUCUUGCAUGGGACCAUCUGAUGCACAAGACUUUUCUCUUGAUUAGUAAAAUGAUCUGAUAUCAGACAUUUGAGUUCCUUUGCAGCUUAAGAAGUUAAUCCUAUUUAUACAAAUAAACUAUACACCAACAAUGUGUGCAAGGCAAUUAAGUGUAUCCUUGGAAAAUUUUCUCUGAGAUUAUGCAGAGUUGUUUACAACUAUUUUGUUCAAGCCUAGUGACUUAUUUCAGUGCAUGAAAAUCAUCCCAACUUUUAAUCGUGUCCUGACAAACUGGAAUCAUGUAAACAGCACAUUUAGCCAUUAAGUUGAUUUGCACCCUAAUUUUCCUACUUAUAUUAUUUGACUCUGUCUAACGUCAGAAAUUUUAUUAAGCAAGGGGUGCACUGGCAGCAGGGGGUGCACUGUCUAGCGUUGUACAGUAAAAUACUCAAGGGCACAGUACAACCUAACGGUUUAAUUUGUUUUUUUUUGUAGCAAAAUGGUUUAAGUUUUAUAUCUGAAUUCUUAUUUUUUUGCUUUGUUUUACAGAUCAUUACUGAACAUGCUAAUGAAAUAUUGAUUUAUAAAAUAUCAUGUUACCAAGAUGACAUGCCUCGAAGAGCAAUACAUGAGGGAAUACCUCUAUUUCUAAUCAAAUUACAACAAUACACCAAAGACAGUAGUUCUCGGAUGAAAUGAAAGGAUUGAUCAAAUGUUCAUGGCCAGCAGUGGAUAUUUGUGACUAUUAUAAAUGGAUACAAAGAAACUAUGAUGGAUAAAUAUGGCCCCGUAAUGGUAUUCAGUUAAUGGACAUACAAAGGUCACAGAAAUGUCUAUUUUCAGGUACUGUUCUUUCUUGUUUGCCUGCGAACAGGCUGUAGAUACCGGCAUAAAUCCUGGCGGUCUAAAUGUUCAGUAUAUUUACAAAUUCGAUCUAUUUUCUGUUCAGUAGACUUUGAUAGCUUGAACGAAAGUUUAUAACGAUGAUUUUCUCUGCAAAAACUGUACUUUCGAAAUUCGUCUGCUUCUGAAUUUGA